GGGUCGUUAGCUCAGUUGGUAGAGCAGUUGACUUUUAAUCAGUUGGUCGCAGGUUCGAAUCCUGCACGACCCACCA
rnacentral:tRNA from 3 species